GUGACAUAUUCGCCGUAGCGCUUCCCUCUGACCGGGAGCUCCGCUAAAACACGGACUGUCAAUAUAUUCUGAGGUGCUUGCUCCUGUCAGCCGUUUCCCUCUCUGAUUGCUUAUUAUGUGGUUGGCUCUGGGGAUACAAAGAAUCGGGGAAGGUGGAAGCCUAGGAUUCUGUGUCUUUAUCGUGCACCCCAGAGGAUUCGGAUUCACCUGAAAAGCUGUGAGGUCCAUAGGCCAAGAGCUCCGAGGUCAAGGAACAGGUUUCUGGAGUCAGAGGGAUGAUGGCGGUUCCUCCGUGUGAAGAAGACCAGGGUGUGCAAAUAGACUGCUACUGUGGAGAGGUGAGGAAACUGAAGCCCAGGAGAGGUCAAGUAUUUUGCCUGAGGUCACGGAGACUGUAAAUGGUGGAAUUCGGGUACAGACAGAGGUACUCUGGCUCUUCAUCACUAAAUGAUUGUACUAUCCUG